rnacentral:lncRNA from 1 species
CAGGAUAUAUUAACAUUCAGAAAUGUGGCUGUGGACUUCUCCAAGGAGGAAUGGGAAUAUCUAGACUCUUCUCAAAGAGCUCUAUACAUGGAUGUAAUGUGGGAGAAUUACAGCAAUCUAGUUUUUGUAGAAAACCAUUGCAUAUGUGGUAAAUAUGAAGAGGUCGUGGAUCAAAGCUCAAAGCAUAUUGUCUAUCAGCAUGCAAAUAUCGAAGAAAAGUCUUACAAAUGUCAUGAGCUUGGCAAAAUGCUUUAUGAUUCCUCCCAAAGCUUACUUUACAAUACAAGUGAUACUACAGAAAACUGCAAGAUAUAUGGGAGUGAUAACCAAUGGGAUCAUUCUAAUGAAUCAUUAAACCUAAAGGCACAUAAAAGUAGGAACACUGAAGAAGAGCAAUACAAAGAUUGU